rnacentral:tRNA from 1 species
GGUGGUAGCUCAGUGGCAGAGCACUUGCCUAGCACAUGUGAGGCACUGGGUUCGAUCCUCAGCACCA